UAGGGAAUCUUCGGCAAUGGGGGCAGCCCUGACCGAGCAACGCCGCGUGAGUGAAGAAGGUUUUCGGAUCGUAAAGCUCUGUUGUAAGAGAAGAACGAGUGUGAGAGUGGAAAGUUCACACUGUGACGGUAACUUACCAGAAAGGGACGGCUAACUACGUGCCAGCAGCCGCGGUAAUACGUAGGUCCCGAGCGUUAUCCGGAUUUAUUGGGCGUAAAGCGAGCGCAGGCGGUUAGAUAAGUCUGAAGUUAAAGGCUGUGGCUUAACCAUAGUACGCUUUGGAAACUGUUUAACUUGAGUGCAGAAGGGGAGAGUGGAAUUCCAUGUGUAGCGGUGAAAUGCGUAGAUAUAUGGAGGAACACCGGUGGCGAAAGCGGCUCUCUGGUCUGUAACUGACGCUGAGGCUCGAAAGCGUGGGGAGCAAACAGGAUUAGAUACCCUGGUAGUCCACGCCGUAAACGAUGAGUGCUAGGUGUUGGGUCCUUUCCGGGACUCAGUGCCGCAGCUAACGCAUUAAGCACUCCGCCUGGGGAGUACGACCGCAAGGUUG
rnacentral:rRNA from 1 species